rnacentral:lncRNA from 1 species
CAACAAUAAAGUCAAAACUGAAAGGAAUUCAUUACUAUCCCCGCAAAAAUCAAACGUGUCAUUUCAAACCCCCAAUCAAUCGCAGGAAUUACCGUGAUCCUGUCGAAGAAAGACGUGCCUCCUCCUCCUCCUCCGGAAGAAGAUGUAGCCUGGUGUCUACUCAUAGUUUUAUCUCUACUCACUCAGUCCCUCGGAUGAUGGUGGUUGUGGUGGUGGUCUUAGUAGC